AUUGACCUCUUCUACUUCCUUUAUCUCAAUUGCCUUCCUUAUACUGAGGGUCCUGGGCUGACCACUCCUUCUCGGGCCAAGAACCCUGCUCCCACACAGCCUCGUACGUGACAUAAAAGGAAAUAUUGAAGAUUUGAGAAGAGCAGUAAAACAGGUGUGAAAGGAUCAACUCAAAGAAUAAGGUACUGGAUCGAGUUGGACAGUAGAUUUCCAGGUGUGGUUCCCCAGACCUGCAGCAUCAGCAUCUCCUGGAAAUUUGCCAGAAAUGAGAAAUUCGUGCCCUGCUCUAGACCUCCUGAGCCAGAAACCCUUAGAUUAUAGGUAAGAAAUCUGUGUUUUAAUACAUCCUCCUGGUGAUUCUUUUGCAGAUUCUGGGUGAGAACUGUAACCAGCUCCAUAAAUAAGAAAACAUUUUUUACAGAUUUUUUUUGGCAGUUUUCUUAUGUUUCAAGUUCCCAGGUCAGUAAGAUUUGCUGACCAGGGCUUUGAAAUUUUCUGUUGCCCUAAUGCAUUCCCUUUUGAGUUUCUUUCUCAGAAAUGGCAGGAAAGAAUGGUGGAAAAGAAUGCUUGCCUCCUUGUAGGCACGAGAUGACUACAAAACUUCACACUGCCUGUUUGUCUGGAGAAGACAAGAUAAGCGAUUCUCCACCACAGAUUGUGCCCAAGGACCCACUGAGCAGGCACACAAGGCUGAAAGAAUGACCAAUAUUAAUCCCCUAGCUCAUUUUAAUACAAAAUCCCCACCCUGGGAGGGACUUAUCCACCAUUAUUUUUUUAUCAUGGGACGUAGCAUGUAGUAGCACGAUUCCUCACUAUGCUUGUGUGACCUGCACUCCAGCACAAAUAUGUAAUGAUGCUCACCCCCCUCAUGCAAUAUUCAUUUCACCUCCAGAAAACCCCUUACCCUGUUGAUCGGGGAGGUGGAUUUGAGGCAAUUCAUACCUCAAAUCCCUCCUCCCAAUAGACGCAUGUCCUGAAAUAAAUCUUUUCUUCUUUGACAAUCCUCA